rnacentral:rRNA from 1 species
CGUGUAGGCGGCUUGGUAAGUUGGUAGUGAAAGCCCUCGGCUCAACCGGGGAAGUGCUACCGAUACUGCCAGGCUCGAGUGCGGGAGGGGAGAGUGGAACCCUUGGUGGAGCGGUGAAAUGCGUUGAUAUCAAGAGGAACGCCGGCGGCGAAAGCGACUCUCUGGCCCGUACCUGACGCUGAGGCGCGAAAGCCAGGGGAGCAAACG